rnacentral:rRNA from 1 species
UACGUAGGGUGCAAGCGUUGUCCGGAAUUAUUGGGCGUAAAGAGCUCGUAGGCGGUCUGUCGCGUCUGCUGUGAAAACUCAGGGCUUAACCCUGAGCUUGCAGUGGGUACGGGCAGACUAGAGUGCGGUAGGGGAGACUGGAAUUCCUGGUGUAGCGGUGAAAUGCGCAGAUAGUCAGGAGGAACACCGGUGGCGAAGGCGGAUCUCUGGGCCUUACCUGACGCUGGAGGCGACGAAAGCUAGGGGAGCAAACAGG